GGGGGGGAGGGGGGGAGGGUGAGUUUGGAAGGGGAUUAAUAACAGUCAAUUCUCAAUUCGCUAUAAAUUCUUUGUAUUCGACAGUGUCAAUGGAAGCGAUCAACGAUAGUAGGUGAGAGGGUGGGUAUCGGGUGUAGAUAACAAACUCAACCUUUCACUGCACACGGCAACCCCUGGAUACUGGUUCGAAGAGGGGCCGAGCAGCGGUCGAGACGGUUCACUCGCGCCGCUCUGUCGACCUGUGCGUUGAACACCGUGCCACCAAUCACUCUCGCGAGUCUCUCGUCCGAAGUCACCAGCAGUCGCAGUACGUCGGCCGCAGUCACACUCAGUACUGUUGUUUCGUUCCGCCGCCGAGAGCCACACGUGUGCACUGACCUUGAUACAUGGCUCGAUUAAUGCACUAGACACGAUCAUCCACCAUCUUAAGAAAUAACACAGCUGUGCUGUGUUAUCCCUUAGGAAGGUGAUAGUCGUUUUCAUUUCAAUUCAUAUAGCGACCGACUUUACUGUUUCAAUGCUAAAUAAUAUUUAACAUUACGAAUCUGAUUAGAUCCAAUCGUCAAAUCCUGUUUAAAUGACUCUUGACUUGUGACGUUCCGAUUUAUUGAUAUAUUUUAAACUGUAUAGUUUCAUAAACUCGUUUUGUGUAUUCUUCUCACACAGCAAUUGGUUAACUAUGAUAAUUUUACGUAUACUCACGCAAUUUUUUUUCGUUCUCAUUACAACAUUUCAUUUACAAACAUUUACUUAGUCAUGACAUUUUUAUUGUAUAUAAGAUAUAUAUUAUUAAUUACAUAUACACUGUACAGUAACACUUACGAUCCACACGUAGUUAGUUGGGCGGAAAUAGGGCCAGAUCAAUAAUAAAUUUGCGACCGGUCGCGUGUUGCACUGGUUCUUAUUCCUUUAGGCAAAAUGGUCUCGGGGGGAGCGCACAGUUGCAAAAAACUCUGGGACAAGACUGAUUAUUUCCUUCCCGCGGUUGCCGCCCGUUAACUUCCUAUUUACUACCGACAGUAAAUAGGUAGAACUAAAAUAAUCAGUCGAUAUUGUAUAAAAUUACUCACAUGCUUUGUUUUAUUUUCAGAAGGAUUUCACCAUUUCACAUCUACUUAUAAGUCAAGUCAUCGACCGGAAAGAAAACCCACAUAUAUAUAUAUACAGAAAUUACCAAAUAAUACACUUUAAUCUAUUGACAUGUUACAGGAAUUACUCAAUAAAUAGGUAUUACGAAAAAUAAACUGGUGCAGAAACAUACUUGAUGCGUUUUGAGAAAGGAACAAGAAAAGAUGUCCAAGAAAGAAAUAUAUAAUCAUCAACUGGAUCAAGAUCUAAUUUUCACACCUACCCACCCACUCGAUCGACAGUUAAUAGAUAUAAGGUAAAAUAAAUUCCUAUAAUCCUCAUAUGGCACAACAAAUAACAAAUCCACAAAACCCGUCACUCGAAAAAAUUGCAUCGGUACUCCACGUCACGGCCUUGUCACCUGUCUACAACCUCUAUCUUCGUCUGCAACUCAAUCGAAAUGUUACGACACAACUGAUGAAGCAACGUACAUCGCCUACACAAACAACCACGAUAACAACACUUCGAGCAGAAAACUGACACCAAGAAGCUACAAUCGAACAAUCAAGCUACAAUACUGCAAGCUACCUACGGCCAACGGUAAAGCUACACAUGAACAAACAACUCCUCGAACAUAAUCUGUGGCCAUCACCGAAACCCUGAAGUGGCGCGGCCUGCAGGAGUGCAUCUCGCGUCACGAGAGAGGAGGGAGGGAGAGAGGACGACGCCGGCCCCCCCACACCACACGCCGCCGGACACCUCUCCUACACCAGCAGCGCAGUAUCUACUCGAACAGAAUCCAACAAGACGGUGAGGCUGCCGGCCGCCUUCACUGCGCCCUCCGAGCCCCGGCGACACGGACGCGCCGCUCCAGCCACGGAGAGGGCAGCUGCAGCCGAGACUACUGUCCACGAUGUCUACUUACGCCGAAAGAAUACUGCGAGCUGUGCGGCAUCGUGUUAACAUUUCGGAUGAGCAAACUACAGCUGAGCUGUCAAUCUACAAGCUUCAAAUGAUGAAAUAGCACACAAGCACGCCGACUCCUCGAGUAAAGAAUAACCAUCGACGAGCUGCAUCCACUGUCCGGACGAACGUACUACCAACGAAGUGCAGUCGGUGCAGCAUCGUAGAAAUCGAAAAUAUAAACUUUGCUGGGCUACUACGUCACGUUACGCAUGUCGUCAUGGCGUGUUCACUACACAUCCUUACCUCCUGUUAUAUGUCUUGCUUUUCACCUUAGAUUAAUAUACAAUAAAAUAUAAAA